UGCCUUAGUAACGGCGAGUGAAGCGGCAAAAGCUCAAAUUUGAAAUCUGGUACCUUCGGUGCCCGAGUUGUAAUUUGGAGAGGGCAACUUUGGGGCCGUUCCUUGUCUAUGUUCCUUGGAACAGGACGUCAUAGAGGGUGAGAAUCCCGUGUGGCGAGGAGUGCGGUUCUUUGUAAAGUGCCUUCGAAGAGUCGAGUUGUUUGGGAAUGCAGCUCUAAGUGGGUGGUAAAUUCCAUCUAAAGCUAAAUAUUGGCGAGAGACCGAUAGCGAACAAGUACAGUGAUGGAAAGAUGAAAAGAACUUUGAAAAGAGAGUGAAAAAGUACGUGAAAUUGUUGAAAGGGAAGGGCAUUUGAUCAGACAUGGUGUUUUGUGCCCUCUGCUCCUUGUGGGUAGGGGAAUCUCGCAUUUCACUGGGCCAGCAUCAGUUUUGGUGGCAGGAUAAAUCCAUAGGAAUGUAGCUUGCCUCGGUAAGUAUUAUAGCCUGUGGGAAUACUGCCAGCU
rnacentral:rRNA from 1 species